CAAUUUUCCCACCGGUGCUAUAGAAAAUAUGCACCAUAUAUAUAUGCUUAUCAGACUAUGAACCAUACAUUUACUUUUUACUGCUCAUGAGCAUUGAGUGUGGUCAAGCUGUGUAUACCCUUAGGAGCUUGUCAUGUGGUUAAAAUCAAGAUUCACUUGCAUGUUCACUCAUACAUGCUGCUUCUACUCCGGAAGUACGCAUCCACAUACAUCCACUCAUUUCCAUAUCCAGAUCCACCCAAAAUUAUUCUACUCCUAUCUAGGAGAGAAUUGCCAAAAAUAAUAUCCUAUCCCUGUUAUUCCCUGUGAAAUAAAUGCUCAAGUUAUUUCGGUUACUACCACUUGCUACAUUAUUUCAAGAGAUGAGUGCUCUAAAAAAAGAGAGAAGAUACGAGGAAAUAAAAAGGGCCAAGUGCCCGGAACCUCGAAGAAAAGAAAAAGUGAGAAGAUAGGUAAAAAUGGACAAGUGUCCGACAGUAGAUUUAGGGGUACAAGAUACCCACCUGAGAAAAAAGAAAAAGAAAAUAUAGAGCAUCUCAUUCUCCUCAAAAAGUUUCAAAAGAGCAAGAAAGGUAUGUAUCCCCUCAAAAGAGCACAAGUAGAAUUAGACUUUCACCAUUGUUAUCACCAUCAUCACCAUACACCAUUCAUUCGCCACACAUGCACAUCUUGAUUUGACUUAUUGACUUGUUCUUCUGGAUCCAUGGUUUGACUAUGCAAUAAAUGUCUUGUAAGUAUGUAUUAGCUGUCUCCCACCUAUGAGCUCCAGAUAUCAAAACCUUAAUAGAGUAGGGUGAGAGAGAAGGCAAUGCCACUAUGCCUCAUACCAAAAAUACCACAUACUUUGAGAGAAGGCAUACACCAUUACUGCCUUGGUAAGGAUCCAGAAAUACCACAAAAGAGAGACUAGAGAGAGUCAUACAAGGAAUCUCUGAGUUUUAUUUGAAAAUCUGCAAAAACUCCAGAGCUAUAGUUAAUCGAAGAAUAAGAGACAUGGCGCUUGACUAGACCGUUCUAUCUUUUAACUGCUCAAGACACAAGUGAUGGUUGCAAGCCCCAUGGUGGAAGGUAAAAUGAGUAAGUUUAAAUCUUAACAGUUUACCCUAACCCAGAGAUGAGAUCUUGUUUGGACGCAUGUGUACCUUUAAGGAAUGAAACCACUGUAGAAACUCUUGACUUCAUCUUUGCUCAGGGACGAGCAAAGGUUAAGCUUGCGGGAGCUUGUUGACGGUCCUUAAUGCUCACAUUUAACCGUCAAAUAAUCAUGGAAAAGGACCUAUAUGCAACUAACACCUAGACUUAGGGUUUUAUCUGACAGAAUUCCAUGAGUUUUGGUGUUUGUCUAUUUCUGCAGGUGGUUAUCAGGAAAUAUAGAGGAAAGGCCCAC
rnacentral:lncRNA from 1 species